GCACGGCUCUGGCACUGCGUAUGCGUGAGUGGCAAUAACUCUCCUUACCAGCAGGCGGCGGUAGUGUGUAUUCGUCAUUCAAAAGAGGUAACCGGAAGACAGACUGCGUGAUAUAUACAAACAACAAAUAGUCUGUGCGUUCAACUUUCACUCUCUUCCAUCUCAGACUGCUUCACACAACGCCUUUUAAUCGAAAACAUGUGCAGUGUGGCACUGGCGGUAUCAGCCCUGGGCCUGUUGCUUGUGGAAGCAGAUAGCAAGAGGCGGAAGCGAACAAUUAGGAGAAACCGCACUAAAUGGGUGAGAUCAUGGAUACGACAGCGAGAAGCUCACGGGGCUUUCCCGAACCUGUGUGGAGAGCUGGAGUUAAAUGAAAUCCCAGAUUUCAAAGAUUUUGCUCGGCUUUUUCCUGUUCAGUUCCACAUGUUGAAGGAACUCAUCACUCCACUCAUCCAGAGGGAAAACACCAACUACCGGGACUGUAUCUCCGUGGGGGAACGUCUGAUGGUUACGCUGCGAUUUUUGGCAACAGGGGAAAGCUUCAGGAGCCUUUCCGACCAAUUCCGAGUGGGGUGUCAACGAUACGGCAGUUCGUUCCUGAGACCUGUACAGCCAUCUACGAGGUUUUAAAAGAGAAAUACCUGAAGUGCCCAGACACAGUGGAAGAGUGGCAGCAAGUAGCUGAUGGAUUCCAGGCUCAGUGGGACUUCCCAAACUGCCUAGGUGCCCUGGAUGGGAAACACAUCAACACCCGCCCCCCAUUUUCCAUGGUGCUAAUGGCACUGGUCGACAGCAACUACAAGUUCUUGAAUGUAGAUGUAGGUUGCAACGGGAGGAUUUCUGAUGGUGGUGUGUUUGGUGGAUGCUCACUGCAGGAUGCCCUGGAGAAUAGGACAUCCAACAUCCCUGCACCUGCACCCCCUCCUGCUUCUGACCAGGCGGUUUGUUACUCCAUUGUGGCAGAUGAAGCAUUUCCCCUGAAGGAGUACCUCAUGACGCCCUAUCCGAACCAGAGGCUAGCUGUAGAGCAACGCAUCUUUAAUUACAGGCUGUCGCGGGCUCGGAGGGUGGUAGAAAAUGCCUUUGGCAUCCUGGCCAACCGUUUUCGGGUCUUUCUAACUUCCAUAAACAUUCAAGACACUGCCAAAGUGGAGGGCAUUGUUUUGGCUUGCUGUGCUCUGCACAACUUCCUGCUCACAGAGAACUGUAGCGUAUACAUGGCGGGAAUUUUUGACCAGGAAGGACCCGAUCAUGGCACUGUCCCAGGAAGAUGGAGACAAGACCCUGACCUACAGCAAGCCACCCUGCCACCCACCACCAAUGCUACAGCUCGAGCCAAGCAGCACAGGGAUGAACUAUGCCAAUAUUGUAACAGUAUCGGUGCAGUGCCUUUUCAGUGGGAUAAGAUAUAGCAAAUAUGUGUGCCUAUCCUGCUAUUUGUGUUUAUUCUUUUAAUCACACAGCGUUAAGAAAAAAUAAAAAUGUGCCUACGUAUCCGUCA